GUUCAAUUGUGCUUGCUGUAGAUACAUUUUCAUCCCUGAGACAAACUUGAAACAGCAGAAUUUUGAUGAGUGCUGAGAGGCAGAAAAAAUUCUGAGUUAUUCUGCUUGCAUUUGGAGAUCCCUGUCUGGCUUUAAGAGGGAAUCAAGUUCUGGACUUGGAAUCCAGAAGCCCCAAGUUAUGAAUGGAGUGUACCACUCAGAGUCAGUGAGCAAACUUCUGCCCUAGGGAGGGAAUUCAAAGCUAGGCGACUGCAAGAGAUGGAGAAGAAAAUCUUCCAUGUCAUCUUAGAUCUAAAGAUAGAAAGGCUAUCCAAAGUCAUGUAGUUCAAACUCAUUACCUUCCAAUUAAAAUUUCUUCAAAUGAUUUGUACAAGAUGAUCUAUAUGUACCAUUAGCCUCAUUGAAAAAGACAUGAGCAAAAUGGAAAGAAAGACCAUGGGAAUGAACCAUAUUUCAACCAUGUUCCUGUUGCCAGAUUAACUGCACCAGAGACCUUCCAAAGAGGUCUUCAAGUCAAGCCCUGCAAAAGGAAAAACCAAAGGAUCUCUUUUUAGUUUUCACAAGUUAUUUUUGGGGAAAAGUACAUAAAUAAAUCAGUGCAGAAACAAGUAAAACUUCAGCUCCAGCUUUUCUAGGACAUAAAAUCCCUUCAACUCCAAUGAUCAAAAUGAACUCCAAGGAGAAGAUUUGCACCAUCAGUAUCAAUCCAGGUAACAAUGGAUUGCAGAUAAAUGGAAUGAACUCAGGAUUUUUUUAACCACAUAUAAUAAGUAAAUCUAUAAAAUGUAAUUCCAAUUGAAUAAUUAGGGGAGAUGAUCUUCACUUGUGUCUCAGACACUAUUCUAAAUUAAAAUUCAGGAAUAAGAUAUGAGGAGAGAAAGAGACAGACAGACACAGAGACAAAGACAGAGAAAGACCGAGAGACACAGGGCGAAGAAGAAGAGAGAGAGAAAUAAGGAAGGAGAGGGAGAGAGGUAAGGAGGAAGGGAGAGAGAGAGAAAGAGAGAGAGGAAGAAGAAGGAUGAGGAGGAGGAGAGAGAGCUAAGGAGGGAGGGAGGUAAAAAGAAAGAGGAGUGAGAGAAGAGGAGAAGAGAAGAGGAGAAGAGAAGAAAAGGAGGGAGGGAAAAAGAUAAAAGGAGGAGGGAGAGGGGAGAGAGACAGGCACUAAGAUAGGGUGUGCUUUAACCAGGAUCAUAUGAUCAGUAUGAGUCAAAGGCAGAUCUUGAACCUGGGUUAUUCUAGCUGCAAGGCCAGCUUUCUAUUCACUUUGCCAUUGCUGCUUCUUAGGAAUCCAUAUCAAAAUAUCAGAAAGGGUCCUUUUGCAACUUGAUGACUGCUGAUGAGUAGGAUGACCUCCUUUGGUGUCCUCUCUAGGGAAAAAAAAACUUGUAAAGCCUAAAUGCAGAUCAAAGAUACUUUUGUUUAUUAUUCUUUGGAGGGUUUUUGUUUGUGUUUUCUUUCACAGCAUAAUUUAUAUGGAAAAGUGUUUUGCAUGACUACACAUGUAUAAUCUAUGUCAAAUUGCUUGUCUUCUCGAUGAAAGGGAGGGAGAGAGAGAAUUUGGGACUCAAUAUUUGCAAAAAGAAUUAAAAUUGAUUUUACAUGUAAUUGAGAAAAAUAACAUAUUAAAUUAUUUUAAAAAGACUGUCA